GGUGGUGGUGGUGAUGUCCAUCACAUUCUAGAGGCAGAGAGAAAGAAAGAGAGAGAGUCCCAUAUCGUGGCAUAGUCUGUGUCAGUCCGGUUGCCUACCUCGGGCGCUGCUGAGAGCCACCCUCGCUCGUGUGGCGGACUCGCGUCCUCCCCCCUCUCCCUUCUUUCUCGCACUCGUUCGCUCGCUCGCUCGCUCGCUCGCUCUCUCUCUCUUUCUCUGUUUCUCUAUGUCUCUCGCGCGCGCAGAGACCAAAGCCGCUCGUUUAUAUCUUCCAACGGUAGCGGUAGCAGCAGUAUAGCACCAGCAGCAGCACCACCAGUGAAAUCGUGCGCGUCUUCCUACGUUUCGAGUGUUUCAGUUCGAUCCUCUUCCUAUUCCUCUUUUUCUCAUUCUUUCUCUAUCUCAUUCUUUCUCUCUCUCUCUCUCUCUCUCUCUCUCUCUCUCUCUCUCUCUCUCUCUCUCUCUCUCUCUCUCUCUCUGCUACAAGAGUGCUUGCCAAAAGCAAAAUUCUCUUUUCGGUUUGUUCUUUCGUGUCUGCUCGGUAGUGUAGUCAACCAGGUGUAUCGUAGCAAUAAGUGUUUCAUACUCGACAUGCUAUACGGUUGUUCUUAUAAGUGCUCCGACACUACGAGGACGACAAGAACGACGAGGAGGACGAAGACGACGAUAACGAGGAGAAGGAGGAUAAGGACGGUAAGGAGGAUAAGCAGCAGGAGAAACGGAGAUUUCUCGUCGAAGAGGCUCGUCGUAGGAAGGAGCGUGGGAGCUGAGAGCGCGCUUCGUCGCUGCUGAGAAAGUCCUCCUCCUUCUCCUCCUCGUCGCUUACAAGAGAUAAAGAGGAAGACAGACAAACAGACAGAGAGAGAGAGAGAGAGAAAGAGGAAAACCAAAGAAGAAGAAGAAGAAGAAGAAGAAAAAGAAGAGUCGCGGUGGAGGCGGCGAAUGCGAGCGAAACGUCGCAAGCAGCCCGGCUUGAGCUGGCAUGAACGCCGAGGGAAACGACAACGGGUACGAGGACAACGUCAAUGUAAACGACAACAAAAGAAACAACAACAAAAGGAAGAACAAAAACAACAGUGGGAACAAGAAAAACAAGAUAAAGGAGAACGAGAAGAGCGGCUACCGUGAGGCUCGCGGCGAUGCUCAUAGACGUUACCUGACGAGCGCACUCGUGCGUACGAGCAAGUCGCGAUUUUCGUUAUCGACGCUCGAUCCCUCUUCUGUUCUGAGCGUCGCUGGUAUCACCGACGAUCAUCGUCAUCGACCUCACGGCGAACAACCCCACGCUCCUGCGCGCCGUUUUCGCGUCCUCUUACAUUCUUGUUAAGAUAUCGUCUUAUUUCGCUCGAUCAAGGAAUACUACGGCAGCAUCAACAGCUGUUUGAAGGGACAUUGGCUUCUCAUCCAAACAGAUUACGAUGAACAAGAAACCAUCGUAUUGGGGUAGAGGGUGUCUCGCGUGACACACGUCCUUCCUCGGUUCUUUUUCACCAGGAGACGGAGUGUCCGGGUCUCGUUCGGCCACGCUUCGUCUCCUCUCCUUCUUCUUCCUCCUCUUCUUUUUCUUCUUCUACAUCUACUUCUAUUUCUAUUUGUAUUUCUAUUUUUAGUUCUAUUUCUACUACUCUUCGAGCACUGUCGUUAUCUUAAUCUUUUCCUUUUCCUUUCCUACCUUUUCAUCGUCACCGUCAAUUUCAACUACCUUUCCUUUUUUCUCAUCUCUCUCUCUCUCUCUCUCUUGUUUUGCUCGUUACGUUUGAAGCUACCCUUACGACGAGGACACGCGUACCAGGGAGGCACGAUAGUAUGACGGUGAUGCUGCUGCAACGUUCGGUCACCCCGCAGUCGACGCAUCGCCAAAAGACAGCGAAGAAGGACUGCAGCGCGAAGCCGCCCUUUAUCUUCCUGCUGGACGAUCGUCAGGAGCAUAGGCGAUCUAUAGACGCCUCCAUCAUCACGACCACUAACAAUAAUAAUAACAACAACAAUAACAACAACAAUAACAACAUCAUCAAUAACUUUAACAACAAUUACGAGAACAAUUACACUCCCACGACCAAUAAUAAUAACAACAAUAACAAUAUCAACAACAACAACAACAACAAUAAUAACAACAACAAUUACGAGAGUGGGAACAAAAACAAUAUCGUGAAAAGAAGCGUCCGUAGGAGCAGCGGAAGCCGCGAGUACGCCGUCGAGGAGGCGCCGGCUUCGGUGACGUCUCAGAGACGCACCGCCGGUGGCCAGGACGUCGCGAUGCGAUAUUAUCGGAUCUGGAUCUACGCCUGUAACGGGGUGCUCUUCUUCAGCGCGGCUGCAUUUGCCGCGGUCGUAUCAAUGUCCAUUAUAUUCACCGGCGAUCCCAGAAGGCACGUAAUACCUGGAGUCCCAAGAGCCUUCGAUCCGACGGCCCUAUAUGCUUACCUCGCUUUGGGUACUCAAUUGGGACUCGUUCAAUUACUUGGUUGCGUUGCCGUAAGAAGACUCAGCGCCAAAUUACUCAACGUUUAUUGGGUUCUACUCUUGGUCCUACUCUUCGGAGACAUCGUUAUCGGUAUCGUUUGGGUCGUCCGUUCCGAGGGAAUGAACGCCCAACUCAGGCCCAUGCUGAGGCUACGAUUACAGACGGAGUACGGUAAGGAGCCACGAUUCAGCGAGCAUUGGGAUCGACUGCAGAAGGAAUUCACGUGUUGCGGUGUAACAGGGCCGCGUGAUUUCGGAUCCCGUUGGCCGCAGACAUGUUGCGGGCCCAUCAUGAAUGUCAGCGACACCUGCCAGCAACCAUACUCACGAGGAUGCGACGAAUCCUUGCUACGCUGGUUAAGAGAAACUUCCGAUCGCCUAUUUGUAUUUGGCUUUUGUGUCGUGGCCUUCACAAAACUCUGUUUCCUCGGUAUUCUACGAUACGAGAUACGUGAGAUGAUACAAAAGAUACGGAUGCUGCGCGAACCACCCCCACCGGCAACAACCUUUGCCCAGCCGCCAUUUUCCCAAGUGAUGUCGGAAGCCACUACCAAUAAUGGCAGCAUCGUUCGACGAACCACUCUGCCUAACGCCGUUACUCCUUCCGAUCAAAGAGAAGGACCAAGAAAUGUUUAAUAAAAGAUGGAAAGAGAGAGAGAGAGAGAGAGAGAGAGAGAGAGAGAGAGAGGGAAAGGGAAAGAGAUCAUCGUAAAAAUUUCAUAUCCUUAAAAUGAACCCGUUUGUGGGAGUAAAAAAUGUCGAGUGGUAGAAACGAAAGAGAAAUCAUUGUCUCUUAUGCGAUAGCUCGGAGUAAGAAUGAAAGAUGACCGUUGGAGAUAGUAUUAGACGGUAGAAAAGGUAAAACCAAUAAAAAGAAAAAGAGUUUUUAUACGGAUAAGCCGAAUGUAUAUAUAAGAGGGAAAGAGAGAGAGAGAGAGAGAGAAAGAGGUAUAAAAUAGUUCUGUGGAAAUGUUCCGACAGUUUUAAAGUCGACGUCAUUAAUUUUAACGAUCGUUUGUCGGUUGACGCGUGUCGACACACGUCCCUACCACUUCUGUUAUACCUAUUCGUAUAACCUCGUUUUUAAUUCAGCGGAAGGUAAUUUAAUAAACUCUUAAAUGAACAAUUUAAACGCGGAAGUUAUGGUAAGAAGUUAAGUGUCGGCGAACCAACGGUUCGAACGUUUGGUAGGUUCGAUGCCCCCGUCAAAACUAAAAUAAGACAUCUAAUCGAUAUCGCGAAAGAGCAACGAAAUUUCUAGCGAAACGUAAUAUUUCACAGAUGUAUACGGUUUCGAUUAAAAGUAACUCGUUCUUAAGUUUCUUUUUUUUAACUGCGCGAAACUUAUGAAAACUUCUGAAAAGAAACUAAUUUAGUUAACUUACUUAUUUCAACGACAGUUUCUAAUGUCGUUAAAGAAUAUGUUAAAGAAAUUAAAGUUAGGUAUAUUCACAUUAGCCAGUGGCAAACGUGUUCUAUAGUUAAAACGUGCAACCGUGAACCGUAUCGAUCCAAUCUGAUUUGGUAACCGUGCUCGAGGAGAGACCGACCCGUUGUAAAGAAAAAUAAAAGACCGCUCUUAUUUUUCUUCUUCGAUGAAGUAAAAGAGACUCCGUCGAAUAUUAAGAUUUAUUAUGACCGAUAAAAUCAGUCUGGUAGGAACUUCAAUUCAAUCUAAUCUGAUUCUUUUAGUAGUAGUAAACAUUUAUCGUUAGCCUUACAAAAGUUUUAUCAAUUAAAUAUUUUAAUUUUAAAUUAAAUGAGAUGUCGGAUAAGAAAAAUUUUUCAAAAGAAAUUUUUCCAUUUUUACUUAUACUUUUGUAUUAUAAAUUUUUCAUCGCAAAUAAAUCUCGUUCCGUAUAUAAAUAUGUCGAUAAAUUGUUUUCUUCGAGAAAUUAAACGAUAAAAAUAGCAAAUGUAUUUUUGUCUAGUUCUUUGAAAAUUGUUGUGUCUAUUCUGCAUCUAUCGAAGUCUAGUGUCCUUUGGGGACACUACGUAUCUAUCUGGCAAUGCUUAUUCAACGAGAACGUGACUCGAGUGGUACUACUUAGGUUCAAAUCGUUAUUUCGAUGGUACUGUAGAGACAUAUCAGGUCAAAUAGAUGUUAGGUCAAAGACUGCUUAAUAGAAUGUCGCAAAUGAAAUUAUAUAAUUCCUUUUCUUUUCUUUUUCUCUUCUUUUUUCUUUUUUUUAUAGGAAACGAUUCGGUGCAUCGAAUCGUUUCGUUCGAUAAAUUUUACUCUUAGAUAGUUGUUCGCGCCUAUUUAUCGUUUAAAAUAUCACAGAAAAUAAACGUACGUGAUAUUUCGGAUAUCCUAAAUUUUACUCGAACUGUUAAAUUACUGCAACGUCCGUUCUGUUGACGGUAGAUUGAUUCACCCGAUCAAGUUACAGGAACUUCUUUCCGAGGGCAAUAAAUCUGUCAAUCAAUGUCCAACUUCACUUUCAUACUUCCUAUACAUAUACAUAUAUAUAUAUAUAUAUAUAUCUAACUUUGAUUAAUAUAUGUAAACCACGAAAUAAAUCAAAUAAUAAAUUCGAUCAAUGAAUAAAACGAUAUCAAAUAUCAAAAUCUACUAGGUAGUGUAGAUACUAUUAAAAACUAAAAUAGGUACGAACGAGUAUAUGCCGUGUUAUAAAAUAAUAACAAUAAUAAUAAUAAUAAUAAUAAUAAAAAGGAAAAAAAAUUUUCUUAUCAAUUUUCGUCCUAAUAAAAAUCAUCGAUCCGUAUUUACUUAUAUUAUAUUUCACCAGAUAUUAUAGUAGGUAUAUAGAUUAUCGUCCUUACUUUAAAUGUUAGGAGAAUCAUUCGAAAGUUGUAAAUUUCAGGUGGGAGACGUUUAAGUCAGGUGGAGGCCUGCUUCAUUCUCACCGAUGAAAACAGGAACAUCGCGUGACGAGAAGUAACUGAAUUGAGUUAAACUAAUCUACCAGUAUGCCUACUAUUCUACUUACCGUACAUUAUUUCUUAUCGGAUCCAAGUGAAAUUUUCGUUACCGCGGACACUACAAUGGUAAAAGAGAAAUAAAUUGAUAUCACGAAAUUUUCUAUCGAAAAUAGUAACCUAAACGUAAUUUUAUCUUUAUGUGAUAGAACAAACGUCAUUCGAUCCACGAUUAUUUUCAUUCAAUUUACGAUCGACGAAUUUUUUUCUUUUUUAUUAUUAUUUUUUUUUCCCCUUUCUUUUUUUUCUUUUUUUUCUUUUCUUUUCUUCCUUUUCACGACUAAGACGAGCUUUAGAACCGUUGAGGAAGAAGCUUUAGAGAUCGAAGAAAUCGGUCGAACGAUAGAAGACGUAAGUGUCGUUGAUUACGAAGCCGAAUAUAUGCUUUGACAUGAAGAAGUUACGAAAAGAGGAGAAGACGUUUAAGUAAUCGUUCUAACGACGACGCAAAGCCCAUUUUUAACCAGCAACGAAUUUUUUGUCCCUUUCUUUCUUUCUUUCUUUUUUUUUUCUUCUUUUUUUCUUUUUUGUUGUUUUUUUUUGUUCUUCUUUUUUUCUCUUUUUCUUUUUCCUCCCCUAAUAUUUCGAUCGUUCACGAUGUCACACGAUGUCCACCGAUCGAUAUCUAUGAGACCAAUCAUUAGUACUUUAAUAGAAACGUUCGCGAACGUUCGCCUUUAUUUUAGACGCCUUUGAGAAUAUGGAAACUAAAAAGUAGAACGGUCGCGUGUUCACCGGUAGUUAACAUCAUCUAACUGCGUGCGUUCAACCGUUCCUUCGAAGAGUUCACGGGUGACGAGCCGAUGCACGGAGCAUUAAAAAGCUCCUCCCGUAGAUACUACCUACAUACCUAGAUAUAUAUGUAUAUAUGUAUAUGUAUAUAUAUAACAAGUACCUUUAUCUCUAAACGUGCACGUAGGUAGAAGUUUAUUUGCGAGAGGGCAUCGCCAUCACGAAUAUGUGAAAUUCAUAAAUCUUGAAGAAACGUGUUAGGAGGACGCGAAUACGCUCGACUAUUAACCGGUAACAGUGCUCGUGUCUAAAGGAAGUCGUAAAGAUGCAAAAUAACCGGCUGCCACGUUAGGGAACUCUUAAGUGCGACAAAUAAUUUCAACGUUGAAGAACUUUAACCAAACUUGUUCUUUUUCUUUCUUUAUUUCUUUCUUUAGAUCUGUCUGUUUCUCUUUUCUCUCCCUCUCUCUUUAUUUCUUUCUACUUACAUCGAACUUUCGUGACUUCGGUUAUAUCUGAAUAUUACUGCGAACUUUUUUUCUACUCUUUCACCUUCUCUCUUUCUCUCUCUCUCUCUCUCUCUCCCUUUCUUUUGCUCAAUCCUCGAAAGAGCUCAAAGGUGAAUACAAUGAGACUUGCUAUUUAAUAUAGUCUUAGAUACACCGUAAAAAAACUUUUUAGCUCGUUUAAGAAACAAGUCUUCGAAUUGCCAAAUGAUAGAGAGAGAGAGAGAGAGAGAGAGAGAGAGAGAGAGAGAGAGAAAGGGUAACAAAGACAAAAAGAGAAACAAAAAAGAAAAAAAGCAAAAGAACUUUUUGAAGUUUCGUCGUGUAAUUUGUACAGGAGAGAUAGCCAGAAAUGGAAGAGAACGUAUUUAUUAAAGUUUUCUACCUUCCCAUUUAACGGAGACAAAGGUUUUGCUGUGACAUUCGCGAUUUGAUAUUUAUGAUAGUCGAGAUAAUCCGUGGAAAAGUUGAAAUCGUUUGUUGUACCUUUCUAUGAAAUUUCGACGUGAAAAUGUGUUUUAAACGAACGGUCAGACAAAGGAAAGAGAAAGGGAAAGGGGUAUAUGUCUUCGGUUGAUAGCAGUCCGACAGAUGAAAAAGAAAUCUCUAACGAGAUACGCUUCUAAAUGAGCAAAAAAGUAUACAAAGUAAUCCUUCAAACGCAAAACGCUUUUAUCGGCCUAGAAAUGUCAGUAAAAUAACUAGCAAAUAGAGAUGAAAUUAUAAAUGAUUAGUUGUCGAGUUACAAUUUAAAGAAAUACGAUGAAAUCAGCGAUUCGUUGCUGUUCGUUAAAUAUCACUUCGAGAUAUCCAUUAAAACGACGUCCGAAUGUAUUUCAAUUAAUUCGUUCGAUCAAAAUUCUUAUCGUUCGCCAGUUGUUGUAAGCCUCGAAAAAGAAGAAGAAGAAAAAAAAAAAGAGAAAAAAGGUGGAAACCAAAGUGCGAAGGUCGAAGGUUCGGCCUUGACCCGUAAAAAAUCUGGUUUGCGUCUAUGGACACCGACGGUCUAAUCCACUUUUCCUUUUUUUGUCGUCUGUCGAUACAAAAAAAAAAGAAAAAAAAGAAAAAAGAGAGAGAGAGAGAGAGAAAAAAGAAAAAGAAAAUAAAUUUCCGAACUGAGAUGAUCCUUUAUCAUUCUAUUUCAAGAAAAAGAAACGAACCCUUCGGUCGAGUAAAUCGUACCAUUACGGAGCACUGUCUCGCCUGUUCGAAACGAGAAAGAAAGAAAAAAAAAAGAAAAAAAAAAAAAAAAGAAAAAAAAAGAAAAAAAAAUUCUUUGGAUAUGACAUAUCCGAAAGAAAUUGUCUUGAUAUAUGAGAAUAUGGAAAUGAGCACGUUUGGCAGGCCGAUUUUCAACGUUCCAAGAGCUCGUUCUUUCCCAAUAAAGAAAAAGCAUACCAUCACAUAGGAGGGGACUAAAAAAGAGGGAGCAAACAAAGUCUUGGAAUUUCUUUGAGCACGAUAGCUCUUCUCGUCUCGAUAGCAUUUUUGAUCCUUAUUCAGAAGGCACCAACUUGAAGAGGAUUUGCGAGUGAUGGUAAUGCCGCUGCUAUUGCUACUGGCAGUACUGAUAGUGGUGGUGGUGAUGGUAAUAGUGGUAUUAAUGGAUAGCUAAAAAGGAAGAUCGAAUGGAAUUGCAAAGUACUUUAUUCGUGACAAGUACAUCGUUGCUCGCAAUACUCUGUUCUCGAUUGAUUUUUCUCCAUCCCUUUCAUAAUUUAUUGUCAAACUUAUGAAAGGUUUUUUCUCAAAAAAAAAAAAAAAAAAAAAAAAAAAAAAAAAAAAUAAUAAUAAUAAUAAUAAUAAUAAUAAAAAGUCCCUAAAUGGACCACCACUAUUAAAGGAAAAAAAACGUAAAUCGCAAAAUCGAAAAGUCGUCAUAUCGCUCUUACGAUUACUUACGAUUACUUUUGUUCUGCUUUGAAUCAAUGAUCCAAACUUUUCCCCUUUUAUGUCUGACCAGUUUGCCAGGAUUAAGGAUAGAUACCCUUUGAUCAAGAGUCGUCAAUUUAGCGAUCCUCUCUCUAUGAUGGAUUAUUCUCCCCAAAAUAAACACGCUCUUCUUAUGUCAAAAGGAUACUAAAGCAAAGAUAAAGAGAGAAAGAUAAAGCAAAGAGAGAGAGAACAUUUUCAGGUGGAUAUCUUCAGGCAAUGAAAUUCCUAGGACCUUAUCGACCUGGCCAUGAUCCAAAACAGAUCGUAACAUCCAGUCGUGAAAGCUAACCGGAAGAUGUGACGCCUCUAUCACUGCGUACUCACAAUAUAUUUUUCGAAACGCAUCGUUGCUCUUGCAAACGGAAGAAUGCAAUACAGGCCGACAUCCUCUCUUAGCGAACAAUCUUCAAGAUGGUGGAGCUGAUAGCGACACGAACAGUCAUUGUGCUUUG